UUACCCUACAAUGUAGAGGACUCUGAGAGGUUGGUGUCCCUCCUCUUACCCUACAAUGUAGAGGACUCUGAGUGGUUGGUGUCCCUCCUGUUACCCUACAAUGUAGAGGACUCUGAGUGGUGCAUGCAUGUGCCUGUGUGUGUUAUUGUGUGUGUGUAUACGUGUGUGUGUGUGUGCGUCAGUGCGGUUGUGAGUACGUCAGUGCGGUUGUGUGUGUACGUACGUGUGUGUGUGUGCGUGCGUGUGUGUGUGUUCGUGUACUCUAUCUGUGUGUGUGUCUCUCUCUCUGUGUCCCUCUCUCUCUGUCUCUCUCUCUCUGUCCCUCUCCCUCUGUCUGUCUGUCUGUCGCUCUCUCUCUGUCUGUCUGUCUGUCUGUCUGUCUGUCUGUCUGUCUGUCUGUCUCUCUGUCUCUCUGUCUGUCUGUCUGUCUCUCUCUUUCUCUCUGUCUGUCUGUCUCUCUGUCUGUCUGUCUGUCUCUCUCUUUCUCUCUGUCUCUCUGUCUGUCUGUCUGUCUGUCUGUCUGUCUGUCUGUCUGUCUGUCUGUCUGUCUGUCUGUCUGUGUCUGUCUGUCUCUCUGUCUGUCUGUCUCUCUCUCUUUCUCUCUGUCUGUCUAUCUGUAUCUCUCUCUUUCUCUCUUUCUCUCUGUCUGUCUGUCUGUCUGUCUGUCUGUCUGUCUGUCUGUCUGUCUCUCUGUCUGUCUCUCUCUUUCUCUCUGUCUGUCUGUCUCUCUGUCUGUCUGUCUGUCGCUCUCUCUCUGUCUGUCUGUCUGUCUGUCUGUCUGUCUGUGUCUGUCUGUCUGUCUGUCUGUGUCUGUCUGUCUGUCUGUGUCUGUCUCUCUCCGUCUCUCUCUCCGUGUGUGUGUCUCUCUCUCUCUGUAGUUAAACAGUGUUUUGGAGUGGGCACUUUGAUCCAUGUUCAACCAACCAAUCCUGUGUGUGUGUAAUAUGCGUGUGUGUGUGGUGUGUGUGGCUCAAACCGUUAGGGCCGUCACAUGUGCUAGCAAAGCAGAGGUGCUGUGUUAGAGUCAGGUGUGUUAACAGAGUUAGAGUCAGGUGUGUUAACAGAGUUAGAGUCAGGUGUGUUAACAGAGUUAGAGUCAGGUGUGUUAACAGAGUUAGAGUAGCCAGUUGGGAGUUCUGAUUACCCGCACCUGUAUCCCAUCAGCUAUCUGCACACCUGGUCCUGAUCAUCAUCUCUCCUCUUCAUAAGCCCGGACCUGACAUCCAUUCCCUGCCGGAUCGUUAGCCACGAACAUUACUCACCCGGAUCAUUUACCCCAUUCCCGCCUGGUCGUCGGAGGAUUCCGCUACCCCAUUGGAUCCACCUAUUUACUCCCAUCAACUCACCACCGCUGCCCGCUACGCCACCUGGAUAUAUCUACCCAUUCACAUUCACUUGUAAAUAAAUACUCACCUUCUUCCUA